GAUGAACGCUGACAGAAUGCUUAACACAUGCAAGUCAACUUGGACUUCGGUUUGGGUGGCGGACGGGUGAGUAACGCGUAAAGAACUUGCCUCACAGAUAGGGACAACAUUUGGAAACGAAUGCUAAUACCUGAUAUUAUGAUUUUAGGGCAUCCUAGAAUUAUGAAAGCUAUAUGCGCUGUGAGAGAGCUUUGCGUCCCAUUAGCUAGUUGGAGAGGUAACGGCUCACCAAGGCGAUGAUGGGUAGCCGGCCUGAGAGGGUGAUCGGCCACAAGGGGACUGAGACACGGCCCUUACUCCUACGGGAGGCAGCAGUGGGGAAUAUUGGACAAUGGACCAAGAGUCUGAUCCAGCGAUUCUGUGUGCACGAUGAAGUUUUUCGGAAUGUAAAGUGCUUUCAGUUGGGAAGAAAAAAAUGACGGUACCAACAGAAGAAGUGACGGCUAAAUACGUGCCAGCAGCCGCGGUAAUACGUAUGUCACAAGCGUUAUCCGGAUUUAUUGGGCGUAAAGCGCGUCUAGGUGGUUAUAUAAGUCUGAUGUGAAAAUGCAGGGCUCAACUCUGUAUUGCGUUGGAAACUGUGUAACUAGAGUACCGGAGAGGUAAGCGGAACUACAAGUGUAGAGGUGAAAUUCGUAGAUAUUUGUAGGAAUGCCGAUGGGGAAGCCAGCUUACUGGACAGAUACUGACGCUGAAGCGCGAAAGCGUGGGUAGCAAACAGG
rnacentral:rRNA from 1 species